GGUGACUAGUGACAGGGGGGGUGACUAGUGAGGGAGGGGGUGACUAGUGACAGAAUGAGGGAGAGGAUGACUAGUAACAGAGGGAGGGAGAUGGUGACUAGUGACAGAGGUGGUAACUGUCACUAGUCACCCCAUCCCUCCCUCUGUCACUAGUCAUCCCCUCCCUAACUGUCACUAGUCAUCCCCUCACUCUGUCACUAUUCACCCCAUCCCUCCCUCUGUCACUAAUCACCACCUCCCUCACUCUGUCACUAGUCACCCCUUCCCUCCCUCGCUCUGUCACUAGUCACCCUCUCUCUGUGCC